CGCGACCUCCCCCUUUGUCACUUGUUGCUUCGGGCGACCUGCCGAGACUUCGGGCCCCCGAGUUCUUCUAAACACUGCAUCUUUGCGUCGGAGUUUAAAACAAAUUAAACAAAACUUUCAACAACGGAUCUCUUGGUUCUGGCAUCGAUGAAGAACGCAGCGAAAUGCGAUAAGUAAUGUGAAUUGCAGAAUUCAGUGAAUCAUCGAAUCUUUGAACGCACAUUGCGCCCUUUGGUAUUCCGAAGGGCAUGCCUGUUCGAGCGUCAUUUCACCACUCAAGCCUGGCUUGGUAUUGGGCGUCGCGGUUUUCCGCGCGCCUUAAAGUCUUCCGGCUGAGCUGUCCGUCUCUAAGCGUUGUGGAUUUUUCAAUUCGCUUCGGAGUGCGGAUGGCCGCGGCCGUUAAAUCUUUAUUCAAAGG
rnacentral:sRNA from 1 species